rnacentral:rRNA from 1 species
CACAAGCAGCGGAGCGUGUGGUUUAAUUCGAUGCAACGCGAAGGACCUUACCAGGGUUUGACAUGUUAGAAGUAGGAACUCGAAAGAGGGACGACCCUGUAUCCAAUCAGGAGCUAACACAGGUGCUGCAUGGCUGUCGUCAGCUCGUGCCGUGAGGUGUUAGGUUAAGUCCUGCAACGAGCGCAACCCUCGUCGCUAGUUAAUUUCUCUAGCGAGACUGCCCGUAUAACGUGGAGGAAGGUGGGGAUGACGUCAAGUCAGCAUGGCCCUUACACCCUGGGCGACACACACGCUACAAUGGGUGGUACAGCGGGUUGCGAUAGAGCGAUCUGGAGCCAAUCCCAAAAAUCAUCCUCAGUACGGAUUGCAGGCUGCAACUGCCUGCAUGAAGUUGGAGUUGCUAGUAAACGCAGGUCAGCACACUGCGUUGAAUACGUUCUCGGGCCUU